UACAACUUCGGUAGUACAAAAAAUGCUAAAACAGGAACGAUACAGAGAAGAGUAGCAUGCCCCUGCGCAAGGAGGAUAUGCAAAAUCGUCAAGUGUUCCUUAUUAUU